GAUGAACGCUGGCGGCGUGCCUAAUACAUGCAAGUCGAACGAGACUUCUUUAUCACCGAGUGCUUGCACUCACCGAUAAAGAGUUGAUUGGCUAACGGUUGAGUAAAACGUGGGCAACCGGCCCAAAAGAGGGGGAUAACACUUGGAAACAGGUUCUAAUGCCGCAUAACCAUCGUUACCUCAUGGUAACUAUGUAAAAGGUGACUAUACUACCGCUUGUGGAUGGGCCAGCGGCGCAUUAGUUAGUUGGUAGGGUAAAGGCUUACAAAGGCAAUGAUGCGAAGCCGCAUCGAGAGGUAGAUACGCCACAUUGGCACUGAGACACGGCAGCAACUCCUACGGUAGGCCGCAGUCGGGACUCCUCCAGAAUGGGGGAAAGCCUGAUGGAGCACCGCCGCCUGGGGGAAGAACCUCUUAUGCUCGUAAAACCAUGUUGUCAGAGAAGAAAGUGCGCUCGAGUACCUGUUCACGUUUCGACGGUAUCUAAACAGAAAGCCACGGCUAACUCCGUG
rnacentral:rRNA from 1 species